ACGCGAAGAAGACAUUUCACGCCAUAUUUGAAUUUGACAGGUUGUUUUGGCGUUAAUUGGACUUUCCUGAACUCUCUUGCAAUAAGACUUAUUUUUGUUAAUUUACUGACGUACGAUAUCGAUUGGAUUUCUGCCGAAUUGUUGCUGAGAUGUAGCCUACACCUAGCUGUCCUUUCAACACUUAUGUGAUAAACAACUUUGCUAGCAGAUAAUGCCUAAAAACAGCUGCUUCACUAGACUGUUGCCUUUAAGGACCGACGGCCAUGACCACUUCAGGCUUCAAAACUGAUGAAAAACACCCAGCAUGCGACGUCAUAAAGGAUCUUAUUGUGAAGGAGGAUUUUUAAAGAAUGAACUUCGUGUAGACCCGCCAAGAAGACCUUCAAAUACAUGGAGGGGAGACUCAUCUCGCACUCAAAUAUCUCCGUGGGGAAUGGAAAGAUGGCAGAGAUGCAUGCCGAGGCCACUCCUUUUAUCCGGGCCUCAGAAAGAGAAACAUUGGCACAGUUGACAGGGAAAAUGUGACAUUUUCUGCACUGUGAUACCUCACAUCUUCAAAUUGAUGCCUUGUCGGAAAUAGACAGAAGGAGGCGUAAUGAAUGUGCUUCGGUGACACAAAGACACGCCACCAGGACAUUGUGGGGUCUCUGCUCUGGAGCAUUCUGGCUGGUUUGCUUUUUAAAGCACAGAGGGCCAGCUGUUUAUGUUAUUCAAAUUUAGAGCAGUGGUAGAAAAUGUGCGUCCAUCUACUGUAGCGGGGGAUAAUAGUUUGGACAAAUGCAUCCAUUUCGAAAACCACUUUUUAUGCUAUUUCAGUCAAUCAGACGACAUUUGAAAGUAUUUUCUGUGACACUGCUUGAAUGUCUCUUUAUAUGCAGCUGAAACUUGGAUAAAAGAUUCAAAUGAUUGUCAUUUUCUUCAGUAUUCACGCUGUCAUCUCCACAUAGCGACUGAAUCAUUUGUCCUUUGGUUGGAGACCGUGUUACUCUAUGUGUGGCGUACAAACAGACUCAUGGGAGGUCAUGGGAGUUCUGUGCUGACAAUCAAGGGACCAGCUGUCACUCAUAGCCCCAUCACCAGCACAACUCAAUGGCUCAUUUCUGGCACAUUUCUCUUUUUUUGGCAGGUAUAUAUCAGCGUGAUGGAUUGGCAUUAGAGAAAAUCUUUCAUCAAGACUCAAAUAUAGUCCUAAUCACCCUCAUUGUGAGGCAUGAAGGCACUUGCACGUUUUAUUAUAGAAAGGUUACAUACUGUAUGUAUGUAUAGAUCAGAUGAGCUACUACCCCGUGUUUGACACCACCCGUCUUGUUCCAAACAUGUUCAUUUAAUGUGAAUGUCAUUUAACACUAUGAAUUAAAUAUGACUACAUGUAUUUGGAUUAAAUCUAUCCAUAU